GAAGAAAAGAGCAUUGUACAUAGCAGAAUGGACACUCAGGAAGAAACCAUUUCACAUGGUGAGUGGCACUUAUGAGGAACAAAGAAGUGGAAAGAGGUUCCUGUCUCCAGGGCUCCAGUUGCUUGGGUUAUCCUGGCCACAUGCUUCCCUCACACAGCUGACAGCUCCUUUCCAGAUGGUUUUCUAGGACAACUGUUCCUGAUUGCACAAAACUUCCCACAAGUCUGCUAAUCCCUGAUGAGAUCAAG
rnacentral:lncRNA from 1 species